rnacentral:antisense_RNA from 1 species
AGUGCGGGCUUCCUGGGGAAUCAUUUGAGCUUUGAAGGUGGGGAGGAGGAAUGUCAGAGAGUGGGCAAAAUACAACACGAAAGGGAAAUUCACCCUCUGAGGGCCAGGGACACGGGGGCAGCCUGCUCUCCUCCUGGGGCCCUGUUCCUUGUGGGGACUGGAAGAGAGGCUUUGACUCUAGGGCCUGGGGCAGCAAGGGUUGACAGGGGUGCAGUCCUAGAAGGGUUGGCAGUUACGGUGGCCCACCAUGGCAUCUCCGUAUCCUUGCUCCAUGCUGCACCCACUCCAGCUGCCAGAGCACGGAGGCAGAGACGUGGGAGCAGAUGAAGGUUGCACGCCAGCCUCCCACCUGUGAGACAAAGGGCCCUGUCACUGGAAGCCACGUCCAGCCUGGCCCCUCAGGAGCCAGGGCUCUGCACCUAAUGGAGGACUGAUGGGAAAGGGAAGGCUGGCAGCAGUGAGGUGACCCCUCCCAAGCAGAGCUGUCGCUGAGCUCCUGAUUCUGGUCCACUGUUACCGGGGAGACUGCUGUCCCCAGGCCU